rnacentral:rRNA from 1 species
AUUGAACGCCGGCGGCAGGCUUAACACAUGCAAGUCGAGCGGGGAAAGGUAGCUUGCUACCUGACCUAGCGGCGGACGGUGAGUAAUGCUUAGGAAUCUGCCUAUUAGUGGGGGACAACAUUCCGAAAGGAAUGCUAAUACCGCAUACGCCCUACGGGGGAAAGCAGGGGAUCUUCGGACCUUGCGCUAAUAGAUGAGCCUAAGUCAGAGUUAGCUAGUUGGUGGGGUAAAGGCCUACCAAGGCGACGAUCUGUAGCGGGUCUGAGAGGAUGAUCCGCAACACUGGGACUGAAACACGGCCAAGAAUCCUGCGGGAGGCAGCAGUGGGGAAUAUUGGACAAUGGGCGAAAGCCUGAUCCAGCCAUGCCGCGUGUGUGAAGAAGGCCUUUUGGUUGUAAAGCACUUUAAGCGAGGAGGAGGCUACUUGGAUUAAUACUCUAGGAUAGUGGACGUUACUCGCAGAAUAAGCACCGGCUAACUCUGUGCCAGCCGCCGCAGUAA